GUUCUUCCCCAACUCCCCCGACGCCGAUUUCCUCUCAGCCUCUCCUUGCCCUAACCGGCGCCGGCGCCGACAGUUUCUUCUCCACUGCCGCACCGACGCCCUCUCCGAUCUCCUCACGGCGCCACCUUUUCUCUGCCCUAGCCUCUCCACCGUCGCUCCUCGCCCUCGCAGUGGAGAGCCCUAAGAUUCCAGUCGCCGACUAGCCACGUGCCCUAGUUUUGGGUUCACAGCCGUCGACACCGAAGACUCCCUUCUCCUCUCCUUCUCCUGACGCCGAGCAGCGCCGAGCCUAGCCUCCCCGCAGUCCCCAGCGCCGACCACCGCAGUGCCGCGGCCCUUUUUCCUCUUUGGAGCUGUGCGCCGACGCCGACCCUCUUCCGCCGGCCACCAGGUCCGACCCUCAGGCGCCUCCGACUCCAUUGAUCACCAGGUGCUAUCGCGCAACCGAUGGGCCUAGUCGUGCCCUACUUCUCGCCGCCGCAGCCACCUAGCCUCUGUGCUGUUUGCUGCCACAGAAGAGGGAGGUUCUUGGUUGUGGGUUGAGUGUGUAGGGUUUCCAGCAACAGUUACUUCAUCCAACGGUAACUUUCCUUGCCUGUGGUGUAACAGGAGCAGCUGAGAAGUAAGGACUUUGACGCGAGACGCGCAUCUUGACUACCAGUUUGGACCUUUCU